GGCUGCGGAUGGAUUCUGGAGUGCGACCCCGAUGGCGAAUCCUCCUUUAUGUUGGCUGUUUGGGAUGGUGGAUUUCUACUAUGACCAAUAUCCUGACUCGACGUGGGCUAGCGCUGUAGGCUUAAGGGUUGCCAAGGCUCUGUGGUUGUGAUGACCUUGGAUUGUUGGUGGGAGUCCUGCACGGCCACUGCGAUGUCAGACCGCGGACAUGACGAAGGGCUCGAAAAGAAGAGGAUUUCUGUAGCGUCUGUGGGGAUGAGGAGGAGUUAGAAACGAUUGAGCAGAUACGGUGCCAGUAGCCCGCGAUGACGGGAAGAAGGCGUAGAAUUAUGAGCUCUUAACGUUCUUUCGACACCUCGAAUCAUUCUGGAAUUCUGCAAGGAUCUGAGAUGGCUGACGGGCGGCCCUCUAGUCAGACAAACACAAUGAACCCGAGGUUUCCGAGCCGUUUAAGAAGCCGCAUCUUAAUAUGAACCGAUGCGGGCGAACGACCUUUAUCAAAUAAUAAACUUCAAAAAUUUUAGGCAGGUGCUUUACUCGUUUGAAUGAUCUGGGGCCCUUCUAUGCCAAUGCCUAGCAUUGAAGGUGGCCAGGUCACCACCUUGGUCAUUUGAUUUCAAUACUCCAUUUAUUUUUAUAUUUAACUUUGUCGAAAUUUUAAGAAUAAUGAUUUUUGAAAUAAUCUAAUAUGUUAAGAACAUUAAAUUUAUUAAAAUUAGUUUUUUUUUCUUUUAUGACAGAUUAAAGCGACAAUGCUCACUUCAACGGGGAUCUAAAAUCAGUGCUAAAAUCUCUCUUUCAAUUGCUUUCGAAGGAAUGUUAGUAAAACAUAUACCUAAGUAAGAACAAUGUUUUAACAGCCUAAACUUACAAUAACAUAAAAAACUAAAGGUAAAACUAGAUUAUCUAUUUGAUCGGUGUGGGCUUCUACAAGAGCCGCAACUAAUGUAGCUAAUACAAUGACACCCCAUUGCAUUUCAUUCAGCUGGAUAAAUUCCAUUAAUUGUAAAAUAACUAUGGGCAAUAUAACAUAGAUGACAAAUGCCACAGAGCCUUCUAUGGAACGGGAGCUAUCUGUAAGGUUUAUGGAAAAGAAAUUUGUAAAUGAAAUUGAUUAUAAAAAAUAUAUGAACAACUAUUGUCUUACUUCUCCAUUUGGUGCGACCCCAUUUGGAACCUAUUACACUA